rnacentral:rRNA from 1 species
AUGAACGCUAGCGACAGGCUUAACACAUGCAAGUCGAGGGGCAGCAUAAAAGUAGCAAUACUUGGUGGCGACCGGCGCACGGGUGAGUAACGCGUAUGCAACCUACCUAUCAGAGGGGAAUAACCCGGCGAAAGUCGGACUAAUACCGCAUAAUACUAAAUUACUGCAUGGUAAUUUAUUUAAACAUUUAUGGCUUACAGAUGGGCAUGCGCAUGAUUAGCUAGUUGGAGAGGUAACGGCUCCCCAAGGCAACGAUCAUUAGGGGUUCUGAGAGGAAGGUCCCCCACACUGGUACUGAGACACGGACCAGACUCCUACGGGAGGCAGCAGUGAGGAAUAUUGGUCAAUGGACGAGAGUCUGAACCAGCCAAGUCGCGUGCAGGAAGAAUGUCCUAUUGGAUUGUAAACUGCUUUUGCAGGGGAAUAAAGUGCAUCACGUGUGAUGUUUUGUAUGUACUCUGCGAAUAAGGAUACGGCUAACUCCGUGCCAGCAGCUGC